CGACUGCAAAUCAAUUUUUGUCGUAUUGCUAAAUUUCAAAAAGAGUUCGUUAAUCUUAUCAAACUGUUGAUUUAGACGCCGAUCGAGCAGGUCUUCCAAACCAGACGGAAAGGUCGCCAUUGGCAUAGCAGAAUUCUCAUCCGCAGCAGUCGCUCCAACCGUUUCCAGGCUUGAACCAUUUGAUUCGUUUUGCUUUUUUUUCUUUGGAGGCAUUCUUAUAUUUAUUAGGUUGAAAUAUAG